rnacentral:rRNA from 1 species
UACAGAGGGUGCAAGCGUUAAUCGGAUUUACUGGGCGUAAAGCGUGAGUAGGUGGCUCGCCAAGUCGAUUGUGAAAGCCCUGGGCUCAACCCAGGAACUGCGUCCGAUACUGGUUGGCUUGAAUCCGGGAGAGGGACGUGGAAUUCCAGGUGUAGCGGUGAAAUGCGCAGAUAUCAGGAAGAACACCCGUGGCGAAGGCGGUUCUCUGGGACGGUACUGGACGCUGGAGACGCGAAAGCGUGGGGAGCGAACAGG